AGUGAACGCUGGCGGCGUGCCUAAUACAUGCAAGUCGAACGGAGUGGCGCACGGGUGUGUAAUGUAUAGCUAAUCUGCCCUACACUAGAGGACAACAGUUGGAAACGGCUGCUAAUACUCUAUAGUGUAGGAUGAGGCGAUAUUGUAUCAGCUAGUUGGUGAGGGAAUGGCUCACCAAGGCUAUGACGGAUAACUGGUCUGCGAGGAUGAUGAGUCACACUCGAACUGAGACACGGUCGAGACACCUACGGGAAGCAGCAGUAGGGAGAAUUGCUCAAUGGGGGAAACCCUGAAGCAGAAACGCGGCGUGGAGGAUGAAACUUUUCGCGGCGUAUACUCAUUUUGAUAGGGAAGCGGUACCUAACGAAUAAGCACCGGCUAACUCCGUGCCAGCAGCCGCGGUAAUUC
rnacentral:rRNA from 1 species